AACGAACGCUGGCGGCAUGCCUAACACAUGCAAGUCGAACGAGAUCUUCGGGUCUAGUGGCGCACGGGUGCGUAACGCGUGGGAAUCUGCCCUUUGGUUCGGAAUAACAGUUGGAAACGACUGCUAAUACCGGAUGAUGACGAAAGUCCAAAGAUUUAUCGCCAGAGGAUGAGCCCGCGUAGGAUUAGCGAGUUGGUGUGGUAAAGGAGCACCAAGGCGACGAUCCUUAGCUGGUCUGAGAGGAGGAUCAGCCACACUGGGACUGAGACACGGCCCAGACUCCUACGGGAGGCAGCAGUGGGGAAUAUUGGAAAAUGGGCGAAAGCCUGAUCCAGCAAUGCCGCGUGAGUGAUGAAGGCCUUAGGGUUGUAAAGCUCUUUUACCCGGGAUGAUAAUGACAGUACCGGGAGAAUAAGCUCCGGCUAACUCCGUGCCAGCCGCCGCGGUAA
rnacentral:rRNA from 1 species